rnacentral:rRNA from 1 species
UGGGGAAUAUUGCACAAUGGGCGCAAGCCUGAUGCAGCCAUGCCGCGUGUAUGAAGAAGGCCUUCGGGUUGUAAAGUACUUUCAGCGGGGAGGAAGGCGAUAAGGUUAAUAACCUUGUCGAUUGACGUUACCCGCAGAAGAAGCACCGGCUAACUCCGUGCCAGCAGCCGCGGUAAUACGGAGGGUGCAAGCGUUAAUCGGAAUUACUGGGCGUAAAGCGCACGCAGGCGGUCUGUCAAGUCGGAUGUGAAAUCCCCGGGCUCAACCUGGGAACUGCAUUCGAAACUGGCAGGCUAGAGUCUUGUAGAGGGGGGUAGAAUACCAGGUGUAGCGGUGAAAUGCGUAGAGAUCUGGAGGAAUACCGGUGGCGAAGGCGGCCCCCUGGACAAAGACUGACGCUCAGGUGCGAAAGCGUGGGGAGCAAACA